AAUAGAUACCCAGGUAGUCCACGCCGUAAACGAUGAGUGCUAAGUGUUGGGGGUUUCCGCCCCUCAGUGCUGCAGCUAACGCAUUAAGCACUCCGCCUGGGGAGUACGGUCGCAAGACUGAAACUCAAAGGAAUUGACGGGGGCCCGCACAAGCGGUGGAGCAUGUGGUUUAAUUCGAAGCAACGCGAAGAACCUUACCAGGUCUUGACAUCCCGGUGACCAUUAUGGAGACAUAGUUUCCCCUUCGGGGGCAACGGUGACAGGUGGUGCAUGGUUGUCGUCAGCUCGUGUCGUGAGAUGUUGGGUUAAGUCCCGCAACGAGCGCAACCCUUAUUUUUAGUUGCCAUCAUUUAGUUGGGCACUCUAAGGAGACUGCCGGUGAUAAACCGGAGGAAGGUGGGGAUGACGUCAAAUCAUCAUGCCCCUUAUGACCUGGGCUACACACGUGCUACAAUGGACGGUACAAACGGUUGCCAACCCGCGAGGGGAGCUAAUCCGAUAAAACCGUUCUCAGUUCGGAUUGUAGGCUGCAACUCGCCUACA
rnacentral:rRNA from 1 species